rnacentral:rRNA from 1 species
UGGGGAAUAUUGCGCAAUGGGCGCAAGCCUGACGACGCAACGCCGCGUGGAGGAUGAAGGUCUUCGGAUUGUAAACUCCUGUUGCUCGGGACGAAAUGCCUCGACCUAAUACGUCGAAGUUUGACGGUACCGAGUGAGGAAGCCCCGGCUAACUCUGUGCCAGCAGCCGCGGUAAUACAGAGGGGGCAAGCGUUGUUCGGAAUUACUGGGCGUAAAGGGCGCGUAGGCGGCCUGUUAAGUCGAACGUGAAAUCCCUGGGCUCAACCCAGGAACUGCGUCCGAUACUGGCAGGCUUGAAUCCGGGAGAGGGAUGCGGAAUUCCAGGUGUAGCGGUGAAAUGCGUAGAUAUCUGGAGGAACACCGGUGGCGAAGGCGGCAUCCUGGACCGGUAUUGACGCUGAGGCGCGAAAGCCAGGGGAGCAAACGGGAUUAGAUACCCCCGUAGUCCCUGAGCGGGCUGGCAAGGCGCAU